CCGGCAGGACAUUUUUGGAAACCAGUAUCUGCCCAGGAGAAGCGCUUGGGGUUUGGCCUGGCCAGUUUUAAGCUGGGGAUGUUUUUACAAGCUAAACUGACCCUGUUGAGGGCAGCAAAUACAUCCUGCUUUGCGUGAGAGGUGGUAGCACCCAAUCCUGGCUUCACAGAGCUUAAAUUCCAGUUUCCUUGGACAAAGCACAGGACCGUUGGCGUCUCUUUCAUGGUGACUGAAGCACUCUGAGCUAGAAGUGGGACCGAAAAAAAGGAGAAGAUUCAAUUCAAAUAGAGUUGGAAGAUGGAGGCCAGCAGAGAGAAAUGGAAGAGUCAACUUUUUAAACAGGAAAGAAAGAAGGCUAUAACCUAAAAACCCACAAAACCUGAAGGACCUCCUGAGUCCUCUGCCAUCCUCUGCAGCAGGACACCCUCCAAACACAUCUGGACACUGGGAUACACCUGCUGUGUGGUGGCUUAGACCAAAUACCCCUGAAAGCUUUCUCCACCUCGAUAGAACGUUUAUUCACAAAAGGUGCCAGCAACCAAGGAGUCAAUGUGAGAUCGCUGGAGAACACCCGUUAAUUGGUUUCAGAAGAUCUUCAAACAGGACUCGGAAACAAAUCAAACCGGUGUAAGUUCUCAACAGAUGAUUGUCUCAGGACAGAUCAGCACGGCAGAAGAUUUGCUUGGUCUCUGUAAGGGCUUGUGAUGGUCUUGGGCUCCAGCUUCGGGUGAAAUAAUCAACCCAAACCGAGAGGGUGUUUGUUGGAAAGGCAGUAUGAGAAAAGGUGCUGCUGCCAUCUGAGCUGCCUGACUCCUGCAAAUUAAUGGCGUAAAGGAGAGGUUUUCUUGGAAAUCUGAAGGGAAAGAAGAGAUUUGGGGUCACGAUACGGACCUUCGCCUUUCUCGGCUGGUAAAAACCAUCGUCCAUAUUUCUUCUCAGCAAAAGUUUGGCUCUACACCAGCUUCAGCAAUCACAAGGACUAAUAUCUAAGAAAGACUGCAUUAAAAGUAUAAUGUAAAAAUAUG